rnacentral:tRNA from 1 species
UGGGUUGUAGCCUAAAUGAGAAGGCGCUUGGCCGUUAACCAAGAGACAAUAGGAUAAAAACCUAUCCUCCCAG